UUCAGUCUAUGUAGAUAGAAAAUGCAUGCUUAAAUUCUAUUGUUGAUUUCAUCUUAAAUCUCAAUUUCUGGUUGAAUAAAAAGAUCAAAUUAAGUGAUAGCAUAUGAAAUAUGCUAUCUGUUUUCUCAUCACUCAAGAUAGUUUCUUGAUUUUACAUUCUUUUUUGGAUGUUUUAUAGAUGAUGAACAAUUCAUAGAUGAGAUGGGUGCUAAGGCUAUUUUGGAGCUAAUUCGGACAUUUUGGAGUCAUACAAUGUCAACCAGAGUGAAACUAAGGCAAAACGAAGCAAAAACUCGAUGUUCGAUAAUUGGAGCCUCGACGGUGCUCUAUGGUGUUCGAGACAACAUUGAAAAGUAGAGAGCUCUAUUUCACGUAAAUGGCCAAGCGCCGUGACACUCCAAACUUCGAAAGCAGAAGAUGUGCGGGCGAGCGUUAAGCACCAC
rnacentral:lncRNA from 1 species